UACGUAGGGGGCAAGCGUUGUCCGGAUUUAUUGGGCGUAAAGAGCGUGUAGGCGGCCAGACAGGUCAGCUGUGAAAACUCGAGGCUCAACCUCGAGACGUCGGUUGAAACCGUCUGGCUAGAGUCCGGAAGAGGAGAGUGGAAUUCCCGGUGUAGCGGUGAAAUGCGCAGAUAUCAGGAGGAACACCGGUGGCGAAGGCGGAUCUCUGGGCCGAUACUGACGCUGGAGGAGCGAAAAGCCGUGGGGGAGCGAACAGG
rnacentral:rRNA from 1 species